UGGGGAAUUUUGGACAAUGGGGGAAACCCUGAUCCAGCCAUCCCGCGUGUGCGAUGAAGGCCUUCGGGUUGUAAAGCACUUUUGGCAGGAAAGAAACGUCGCGGGUUAAUACCCCGCGAAACUGACGGUACCUGCAGAAUAAGCACCGGCUAACUACGUGCCAGCAGCCGCGGUAAUACGUAGGGUGCAAGCGUUAAUCGGAAUUACUGGGCGUAAAGCGUGCGCAGGCGGUUCGGAAAGAAAGAUGUGAAAUCCCAGAGCUUAACUUUGGAACUGCAUUUUUAACUACCGGGCUAGAGUGUGUCAGAGGGAGGUGGAAUUCCGCGUGUAGCAGUGAAAUGCGUAGAUAUGCGGAGGAACACCGAUGGCGAAGGCAGCCUCCUGGGAUAACACUGACGCUCAUGCACGAAAGCGUGGGGAGCAAACAGGAUUAGAUACCCUGGUAGUCCACGCCCUAAACGAUGUCAACUAGCUGUUGGGGGCCUUCGGGCCUUGGUAGCGCAGCUAACGCGUGAAGUUGACCGCCUGGGGGAGUACGGUCGCAAGAUUAAAACUCAAAUGAAUUGACGGGGGUCGAUAGCUG
rnacentral:rRNA from 1 species